CAGGCCUAACACAUGCAAGUCGAACGGAAACGAUGCUAGCUUGCUAGCAGGCGUCGAGUGGCGGACGGGUGAGUAACACGUGGGAAUCUGCCUAUUAGUGGGGGAUAAGCUGGGGAAACCCAGUCUAAUACCGCAUACGCACUACGGUGGAAAGGGGCCCUCUCCUUGGAAGGUCUCGCUAAUAGAUGAGCCCGCGUCGGAUUAGCUAGUUGGUGGGGUAAAGGCCCACCAAGGCGACGAUCCGUAGCUGGUCUGAGAGGAUGAUCAGCCACACUGGGACUGAGACACGGCCCAGACUCCUACGGGAGGCAGCAGUAGGGAAUAUUGGACAAUGGAGGAAACUCUGAUCCAGCCAUGCCGCGUGUGUGAAGAAGGCCCUAGGGUUGUAAAGCACUUUCAGUAGGGAGGAAACGCCUACGGUUAAUACCCGUGGGCUAUGACGUUACCUACAGAAGAAGCACCGGCUAAUUUCGUGCCAGCAGCCGCGGUAAUACGAAAGGUGCAAGCGUUAAUCGGAAUUACUGGGCGUAAAGCGUACGUAGGCGGUUGAUUAAGCAGGAUGUGAAAGCCCCAAGCUCAACUUGGGAACUGCAUCCUGAACUGGUCAACUAGAGUACAGCAGAGGAGAGUGGAAUUUCUCGUGUAGCGG
rnacentral:rRNA from 1 species